CGGGGAGGAGAAGCCAAAAAAAAAAGCAAACAUGACAACUUGCUGCUUAUUUCAUUCGUACGGCUGCAAGAAAGCAACAGUAUGCGGCACUCAAACAAGGAUGGCAAAAUACAGGGAUGCCAGUGCACAUUGUGACAUUAUUACAGAACCAUAAUUCCAAAGUUGCCCAAUAUCUCCACAUAUGGUGUAAUCACCUGUUAAAUCACCAGUGGAUUUGUCAUUUUCAUCAGAAAACAACAUGCCACAGUCAUCAUUCUCAGAAUAUAUUCCUAGUCAAGAGUCAAAAUUAGAGGCACAGAUGGAAUCAGAGGCCAAAAGUCAGGAAUUCUGAAUCUUUGAGGUAUCACAUUCACAAGGAACCCAAACACAUUGCGUAUUGUUUCUGCUUAGAAGAACUUUUCUCAAUAUGUACUUCAUGUGGCUUUCAGGUAACCAUAUUAUGUCGAUGUGAAACUUUUCUCCCUGGUCAUCCUAUGAAGAUGGGAUAUUAUCCCGUUUGGACUUUCCUGGUAAACAAAUGUCUAAUAAAUAAAAAAUAAAUAAUA